AAUACUUAGGAAUCUACCUAUUAAUGGGGGACAACAUUUCGAAAGGAAUGCUAAUACCGCAUACGCCCUACGGGGGAAAGCAGGGGAUCUUCGGACCUUGCGUUAAUAGAUGAGCCUAAGUCGGAUUAGCUAGUUGGUGGGGUAAAGGCCUACCAAGGCGACGAUCUAUAGCGGGUCUGAGAGGAUGAUCCGCCACACUGGGACUGAGACACGGCCCAGACUCCUACGGGAGGCAGCAGUGGGGAAUAUUGGACAAUGGGGGGAACCCUGAUCCAGCCAUGCCGCGUGUGUGAAGAAGGCCUUUUGGUUGUAAAGCACUUUAAGCGAGGAGGAGGCUACUCUAGUUAAUACCUAGAGCUAGUGGACGUUACUCGCAGAAUAAGCACCGGCUAACUCUGUGCCAGCAGCCGCGGUAAUACAGAGGGUGCGAGCGUUAAUCGGAUUUACUGGGCGUAAAGCGUGCGUAGGUGGCCAAUUAAGUCAAAUGUGAAAUCCCCGAGCUUAACUUGGGAAUUGCAUUCGAUACUGGUUGGCUAGAGUAUGGGAGAGGAUGGUAGAAUUCCAGGUGUAGCGGUGGAAUGCGUAGAGAUCUGGAGG
rnacentral:rRNA from 1 species